AUUGAUAAUCAGGUGAAUUUUUUUAUUUUAUUGAGGUCAUAACAGUUUAUAACAUUGUGAAAUUUCAGUUGUACAUUAUUUACCAGUCACCAUAUAAAUGUGCCCCUUCACCCCUUAUGCUCAACCCCCAAGGUAAAUUUUUAAGUAGAGAAUUUUUCUUUUCUUUUUUUUUUGAGGAAGAUUAGCCCUGAGCUAACUACCGCCAGUCCUCCUCUUUUUUGCUGAGGAAGCCUGGCCCUGUGCUAACAUCCGUGCCCAUCUUCCUCUACUUUAUACGUGGGACCCCUACCACAGCACGGCGUGCCAAGCGGUGCCAUGUCCGCACCGAGGAUUCGAACCGGCGAACGCCGGGCUGCCAAGAAGCAGAACAUGCAAACUUAACCGCUGUGCCACCAGGCCGACCCCUAGAGAGUUUUUCUUAAUAUCAAUCACAUUGUUUAGUGUCGACUCCUCGGCUUCUGAUGAACUAAUAGCAAUUACAUUUAAACAGAGAAUAGUUUGAGGGUUUUAUACAUUCAAUAUUUCUAUUAUUGAUUGAGUCACAAAAAUCACUUAUUGAAAUACCUUUUAACCAGUUCACUUAUUUUACUACUUUUUGUUCCCCCUUAAUCCAUGGAGCUCCACAAACCAGUUGGCCAAAUUUCAGGACUCAAUAAACUGAAACAAUUGAAAAGUUCAUUACAUUUUUCACUUUUGUCACCAAAUACCUUUUCAUAUUAUCUACUAAGACAAUCCAAUAGCUUUUCUCUUAUAACCACAGGCCCUCUAGGAUCAGUUCAAACUGACCCCAUCCUAUCAACAGAAGGUUUUUUCUGGGGCAAGCCAAAAAUUUGCAACUCACACAGCCAGAGCAUGGGCAGAGAAGAAAGUCUUCACCUGAAAUAACACCUGGAACCAAAGACUCUCCACCCACAGAACCAAAGGACUGGGCCGUGACUGGAACUCCAAAGUCAGACUCUCAUCAGAAGCAAGGGGUCACUGUCUAGGAAGAUGUGCUGUUAAAGCCGCUUCCACACCUUACGGCAAGUGCUUAAAGCCCUCCAGUCAAAACCUGGCCAUCAACGCUUCCGCGUACCAGCCUGUGCCCCUAACCUCUUAUAUUUUGCCCCAAACCCUGGAUCAGGGAGGCCGAUUUGAGAGCUUUGCCUCCUUUCUCCUUGCUGGUCAACCCCACAAGAGCCUUUUCUUUUCUCAAAAGCUGAUGCGAGGGCCAGUCCCAUAGCCGAGCAGUUAAGUUCGCGCGCUCUGCUUCUGCGGCCCAGGGUCUCACUGGUUCAGAUCCCGGGCGCCGACCUAGCACUGCUCAUCAGGCCACACUGAGGCGGCAUCCCACAUGCCACAACCAGAAGGACUUACAACUAGAAUCUACAACUAUGUACUGGGGGACUUGGGGGAGAAGGAAAAAUUUUAAAAAGCUGUGCCAUAAUUGGCUUUAAUGCCCAUCGGGCACAGAACGCCAUUUGUGCGCUAAUAUAGAUACUGCAUUUUGUUUUAAACGGUAUACCUUUUUUCCCACAUCAAUAAUAUCUACCACUUCUGUUUCAAAGUUUCCUUUGUUUGUUUAUGUUAUGGACUGAAUGUUUGCAUCUCUGCAAAUUCUAGUUAACCCCUGACUCUCCUCCCGAGUGAUUACAAGGUGGGGCUUUGGGAGGCAAGUAGGAUUCGAUGAGGUCAUAAGGGUGGAGGUCAUAAAGGACGAGUGCCCUCUAAGAGUCACAAGAGAGCUUCCUUCCUCUGCUCUGCUCUCCACUAUGUGAGGAUACCACAGAAGUCGGCAGUCUGCAAUCCAGAAAAGGGUUCUCACCAGAACCCACCAAGCUGGCACUCUGAUCUCAGACUUCCAGCCUCCAGAACUGUGAGGAAUAAAGUUCUGUUGCUAUGAGUCACCCAGCCUGUGGUACUCUGUUACAGCAACCUGAGUCGACUACGACAGCUUACAUACGUUCAAUCAUUUUAUAGUCCAUUGAGAUAAUGUCAGCUCUAACAAUUAAAACAUUUUUCUCGUACACCUGAAAUUAUACAAUGUUAUAAACCAUUAUGAUCUCAGUAAAAUUACUGGGAAACAAACAUUUUUCUCAUAAAGCUAAAAUAAAUAUUGACAUUUCCAUUAAAAUAUUAAGGCCCAAACUCUUAAAAACCUAUUUUUCAAAUGGCUAACCACUCCAUAUCAGUUCUACUACAGUGAACACAGAGCUUACUGAUUUCCAAACUGCCGUCCACUGAGCUUCGAUCUUCAUUACUUAACUUGCAGUUCUGUUAUUUGCUGUGACAGAAAAAUAGCUUGUUGAAAGAAAACAAUACGAGAAUUACCUGACUUUGGCUUCAUAUUGCUUUAUCUAAAAUUAAUUUGAUAACGUACUGCUAAAUUAAAACAUCCAGAUUUUUCCUAAACUUUUGGCUGAAAUUUCAGACUCUCUCUUGCAUUACAAUGGCACUUUUUGUACGAAACCCAGUGACUUUUUUUUAAUUGUUGUAAAAUAUUCCAAUGACUUUUUUUUUUUUUUUUUUUGCCAUGGAAGACUUGCCCUGAGCUAACAUCUGUUGCCCACCUUCCUCUUUUUGUAUGUGAGCCACCACCACAGCAUGGCCACUGACAAGUAGUGUAGGUCCACGCCCAGGAACCGAACCUGGGCCACCAAAGCAGAGCACGCCAAAUUUAACCACUAGGCUACCAGGGCUGGCCAUCCAAUAACAUUUUAAUGGAAAGAUUUUUCAAUGAAAUACAAUUUUUCUUGCCCAUCAAGUUCAAUAUGUUGUAUUAAAUGUGGUUCCCAGUGCCAUAAGAUCAACAAAAACCAUUAUCUUCAAAAUCUUGAAAUUUGUAUUUUAAGCAAUUAAAACAUUUAUGUUAUGUUUCAGCUUCUCUGAUGAUGAUUUAAAAUGAACUACAUUGACUCAUGUUUUCCAAAACGUUUUCUCAUUUAGGUCCAUCCACGUUUCGUAGUAAGUGGGUCCAUAGUACCCAUGU
ensembl:lncRNA